UACGUAGGGCGCAAGCGUUGUCCGGAAUUAUUGGGCGUAAAGAGCUCGUAGGCGGUGUGUCGCGUCGGUCGUGAAAACUUGGGGCUUAACCCUGAGCUUGCGGUCGAUACGGGCAUCACUGGAGUUCGGCAGGGGAGACUGGAAUUCCUGGUGUAGCGGUGAAAUGCGCAGAUAUCAGGAGGAACACCGGUGGCGAAGGCGGGUCUCUGGGCCGAUACUGACGCUGAGGAGCGAAAGCGUGGGGAGCGAACAGG
rnacentral:rRNA from 1 species